UAGGGAAUUUUCGGCAAUGGGGGGAACCCUGACCGAGCAAUGCCGCGUGAACGAUGAAGAUCUUCGGAUUGUAAAGUUCUGUGAUUAGGAAAGAAUAGCAUAACUAGGAAAUGAGUUAUGUAUGACGGUACCUAAUUAGAAAGCCCCGGCUAACUAUGUGCCAGCAGCCGCGGUAAUACAUAGGGGGCGAGCGUUAUCCGGAAUUAUUGGGCGUAAAGGGUGCGUAGGCGGUUUAUUAAGUCUGGCGUGAAAUCCCACAGCUUAACUGUGGAGGGUCGUUGGAAACUGGUAAACUUGAGUACAGUAGAGGUAAGUGGAAUUCCAAGUGGAGCGGUGGAAUGCGUAGAUAUUUGGAGGAACACCAGUGGCGAAGGCGGCUUACUGGGCUGGAACUGACGCUGAGGCACGAAAGCGUGGGGAGCAAACAGG
rnacentral:rRNA from 1 species